UACAGAGGGUGCAAGCGUUAAUCGGAGUGAUUGGGCGUAAAGGGCGCGUAGGCGGUGAGCUAAGUUAGUUGUGAAAUACCAGAGCUUAACUUUGGGGAGUCAACUAAGACUGGCACACUAGAGUACAGUAGAGGGGAGUGGAAUUUCCGGAGUAGCGGUGAAAUGCGUAGAUACCGGAAGGAACACCAGAGGCGAAGGCGACUCUCUGGGCUGUAACUGACGCUGAGGCGCGAAAGCGUGGGUAGCAAACAGG
rnacentral:rRNA from 1 species